UGUCCCGCAGAAAAUGUUUUUAACGAAUCUGGGCUGGGUUUUGAAUCUUCAGGCAUGAACCCCGGGCUUCCCAGCCUCCAGAACCCUGAGAAACAAGUGUCAGCUAUUUCAGGACCCGAGUCUAUGGCCUUUUAUGGCAGCAGCCCUAGCUGACCACGACAGGCUCUUUGGAGCCACUCAGCUACGGAGCCUGGGAGAACGUGAGCAGAAGCAAGGCUCUGAGGUCACUGCUUUCCAGAAGCACCGGUAGGGGUGAGGACGGAUUGUAGCAAAGAAAGAAAUCUUUGAUUUGAGAAAUCACGGCAGCUCCCCAAGUGAACCAGUGAGCCCCCCAGCUGGCUCCCGUCCAGGUUGGCCCUUGCUCCUGAGCCCUGACUCCGUCUGCACGAACCCAGCCUGGCUUCACCCGGGGCCCCUCGGAGAGACGCCGAGCUCUUGGGCUUCUGCGGCGUCUCCCUGAGAGGCUCUGUCAGCGACGGGACGCAGAGUUGAGUUGCCCCCACCUCCUGAGUAAUCCCAGGGUCUGAGUCGAGGGUCCAGACAAGGAGCCCCAGGCCGGCGGACACCGGUCAGCUGUUUCUAGGACCCCAAGAGGUCAUGGGACCCCAAGCCACCAUGCCCUGGCCCCAAGGAGCCUCCUGGCCUCAGCGAUCUCCAGCCCCUGCUGUUUCCUGGCCCCCUGCAGCUGUCUCUUUCCAGAACUCUGGUUCCAGGGUUUGUCCAGGCCCCUAAGGUUGGGACGGUGUCUGGGACCUGCGGGCCUCCUGGCCCCUCUGAGAGGUUCCACCCUUGACGAGCCUCCUUCUGGCAGGAGGCCCCGAGCCUGGGGCCUUGCUCACCCUACUGUGCGUGUAGAGCAUGACCUGAGAGCUCCAGCAGGGCCAAGGGUCCCCAUGAGCUUCGUGAUGCCCCAUGGCCCCUCCCGAGGGGACACGCCUCCCGGCGGAGGAGCAGCAGCCAGCGAGGCCACGGCAAGGCCAGCACACAGGUCAUCGGAUCUGCUGGAUCUAAUGACGUGUGUUAUGUGUCUUGUCAUCCUCAUUUUCCAACUUUCUUAUUUAGUGUAUUUUACAGAACUCUCAGGCCAUAAUGAACUGAAAACAAGAAACAAAACUGGCCCUGGACCGCAGCGAGUCUGGAAGCAAGCAGGUGUCAGAGGCACAGGGUCCCCGGGGCGUGACUGCAGGGGCCUGGCCCCGUGGGGGGCCGUCCUCUGGGGCUGGAGCCGAGUGUCCACCGCAGGACCCAUCCCGUGGACGU